UACGGAGGGUGCAAGCGUUAUCCGGAUUCACUGGGUUUAAAGGGUUCGUAGGUGGUCAAUUAAGUCAGUGUUGAAAUCUCCGGGCUUAACCCGGAAACUGCCAUUGAUACUAUUUGUCUUGAAUACUGUGGAGGUCAGCGGAAUAUGUCAUGUAGCGGUGAAAUGCUUAGAUAUGACAUAGAACACCAAUUGCGAAGGCAGCUGGCUACACAAAUAUUGACACUGAGGCACGAAAGCGUGGGGAUCAAACAGG
rnacentral:rRNA from 1 species